AGCUUUCUGAAUCCACGUAGAGAUUUCGUCGGUUGCCAAAUCAUUAGGGCUGAUGGGACUUCCAAGAUAAGUGGAGUU
rfam:Schistosoma rodhaini strain Burundi genome assembly, scaffold: SROB_scaffold0010000